GUUAUUUCAGGGCUCCAUGUCUGAACGGAGGUGUCUGUGAGAACGAUGCAUGUACAUGUGCAUCAGGAUUUGGUGGAUCUCUGUGCGGUGACGUCAUUGUCUGUUCUACUAGUGACCAAUGUCUGAACGGAGGUACCUGUGAAUCCUAUGAAUGUUCAUGUGCUGUGGGAUUUACCGGAUCUGUGUGUGACCGAGUCGACUGUUCUGGGAGCAACCCGUGUCUGAACGGAGGUACCUGUGAGAACAAUGAAUGUACAUGUGCAACUGGGUAUACAGGAGCUUUGUGCGAUGACGUGUAUGACUGUUAUUUUAGGGCUCCAUGUCUGAACGGAGGUGUCUGUGAGAACGCUGCAUGUACAUGUGUUGCGGAAUUUACUGGAUCUGUGUGUGACAGAGUUGACUGUUCCGGCAGCAACCCGUGUCUAAACGGAGGGAGCUGUGACACCGAUGCAUGUACAUGUGCUGCGGGGUAUACAGGAGCUUUGUGCGGUGAAACGAGUAAGGUCUUUUUAAGGUUUACUGGUACUACUUACACAUUUCAAUGUCUUUUUGUCUAAGAGUAUUGCACACACACAAACAACUAAUAGUCGAUAAUCUUCGGUCACUAAAGAAAAACAACUACAUAUUUUCACAAGGGCUAGGAUCUUUCUAAUUCACAUAGAUAAUUAGAUUAAAUAAGCCUUUAUUCAUGCAAGCUAUUCUUGUCUGACCGGUGGUUGUUUACUUUUCUUUCCAUUCAUCCUUUCCCUUCACCUUAUAUGUGAAUAAGGCUUCAUUUUCAGGUAUAAUCCCAAGAACUCUGACUCAAACUACGACUGUGACGUUUACCGACAUUUUUUGAAAAUGUUCAAUAAGUCAUCUUCGCUUCUAAUCCACCUCUUCACAUUUUCCCGUCACUGGCAGAUAGAUGAGCGAUGACCCUAGCUGCCAUCUAAAGUCCAUGCCAACGAUACUGUUGGUGUGCUGCGGGUUUUCGCGAGAAGUGCCUGGCUCUUCAUUGUCGAAUCCUCCACAAUCGAUAUUACUGAUCCUUAUGGUUUUUUCUUUUUGCUAGAGUAUGCCUUCUCUUUUUAUAGGAAUUCAAUUUCACGAUGAUAGAGCGAUGUCCGGGAGGUUUUCUGGGAGUUGCUACUGAUGGUUUCACCAACCUGCUCGCUGAUGAUCUCUGCUGCUAUUGCAUCGGUGUCUUCACACGGCUCCUCCUCAACACCGAAUAUGCGAAUACACGUCGUUCGUGAAUACCUUCUAGAUUAUUGAUGCUAUAGUUGGCAUUACAGACUUCCCUGCUGGGGUUUUCUACUGUCCUGUUCAAAUCAGACAUGUCAUUAUCUUUGCUUUCUAUUUUCAUCUGCAGAUCAAAAUAAUACAUCACCUUGAAUAACAUCUAACCUAGCUACUCAGCAAUUCUCCCAUUUUUUCCUCUACUGCAUCUCCUUGAAUAACAUCUAACCUAGCUACUCAGCAAUUCUCCCAUUUUUUCCUCUACUGCAUUGCUGACUAUCGUAUCCAGAUGUAUGUGACAAACUCUUCAUUCUUCAAUAAGU